rnacentral:rRNA from 1 species
UGCCAGCAGCCGCGGUAACACGGGGGGCGCAAGCGUUAUUCGGAAUUAUUGGGCGUAAAGGGCGCGCAGGCGGUCUUGUCCGUCAGGUGUGAAAGCUCGGGGCUCAACCCCGGAAGUGCACUUGAAACAGCAAGACUUGAAUACGGUAGAGGAGAGAGGAAUUCCUGGUGUAGAGGUGAAAUUCGUAGAUAUCAGGAGGAACACCAAUGGCGAAGGCAGAUCUCUGGGCCGUAACUGACGCUGAGGAGCGAAAGUGUGGGGAGCAAACAGGAUUAGAUA